CAGCAGCUUUCUGGUCAUCCACUCAUUUGGCAAAACUGGCAAAACGUGCCCUCUCCUUUGGACUGCUGCUGUCGUCACGCUUCUCCUGGAUGCACUUAGCAUGCUGUACUGCUUGCCACCCAGCAGGUUAAUGACCCAUAAUUAUCUUCCCCAUAUAAUGAGGAAAGCUCAAUAUCUCCGCAGCGGACACACUAGCAUGCAGCCCAGGCAAAGUGUUUCAAUGUUAAACGAUACCUGAGGCCCUGCCCUGUUCCCACUGAAGUCGACAGUGAAUUCAUCGACUCUGCCGAGCUGUGGAUUUCCUAACUCUGCGGCACAAAGAAAAACGCUUGCUGAAGCCUCUGGCAGCAUUACCUGCAAAACGAGCGUGUGCAAAUUCAGUUUUAUUUAGGCUACGCAGUGAGUAUCCUGUUUUGAUCCAUGCUGAUUUAAAUCGAGCGUUGUGAACCUCGUUAUUUAGUGCUGCUCACAUGAGGCUGAAUUUGCUACAGUACCCUUGAGACAGGCAGGCUUUAUCCUGCCGAACAGAAACAUCCGCAGCUGUACCACACUGCUGCAGGCUCCUUGGAGUUACUUCAUCGCCGACUGACAGCUGUGUCCCCUGACCAUUAUCUGGUGGCCACAUACUUCAAUAGCGGACUGUAUGUACUGUAUGCACUAGACUACAGUGUGACCUGACAGCUCGGCUUCCUCUCCCAGAGUAUAUCUUCUGCUACUCUUUAGCAUCCUACAGUUUAUCUGUGGUCAGCUUUCUUACCCAUUUCCUGCCAGCUGCUACUGGUCUUUUAGUCAGCUCCGCCAGGCAUGCAGGCACUGGUGAGCUUUCUGAGCCUGAAACCGCGUUAUUUCUUGGAUAUAGGCAUUACAAUACAAGAUUUUAAAUGCAAGAUUUAAACACAAGAUUUCUUUGCACCUUGUGUAAUGACAAUUAAAAAAAUGUCGCUCUAAGAAAUAUGCCUCCUGUUUAUAAUGCGUUAUUCAUUUUAUUUCUUUUGAUUUCUUUUUAUGAGUUAUUCAUUUUAAUUUCUUGCCUUGUUGCAGUGUUAUGGCUGAGGCUUGACAAGCACGAAGUAGUUUCUCACAACAGUUAUAACUCAUUUUGUCAGCACAAGGAGCCCAGCACUCGGUAUCCUUCUUCCCUCCCUUGGCUGACUGCAUGCCUGGAAGCAGGAGCGCUUAAGUCAAAGUCUGAGGCAGACAACAUGGAAAAUCAAGAGGAAAAAGAAGUCAUGCUCAAGUUCUCGAGUUCAGCACUGACCUUCUGA
rnacentral:lncRNA from 1 species